ACUCCUGCGGGAGGCAGCAGUGGGGAAUAUUGGACAAUGGGCGCAAGCCUGAUCCAGCCAUGCCGCGUGAGUGAUGAAGGCCCUAGGGUUGUAAAGCUCUUUCACCGGAGAAGAUAAUGACGGUAUCCGGAGAAGAAGCCCCGGCUAACUUCGUGCCAGCAGCCGCGGUAAUACGAAGGGGGCUAGCGUUGUUCGGAAUUACUGGGCGUAAAGCGCACGUAGGCGGAUCGAUCAGUCAGGGGUGAAAUCCCAGGGCUCAACCCUGGAACUGCCUUUGAUACUGUCGAUCUGGAGUAUGGAAGAGGUGAGUGGAAUUCCGAGUGUAGAGGUGAAAUUCGUAGAUAUUCGGAGGAACACCAGUGGCGAAGGCGGCUCACUGGUCCAUUACUGACGCUGAGGUGCGAAAGCGUGGGGAGCAAACAGGAUUAGAAACCCCUGUAGUCCCAUGAU
rnacentral:rRNA from 1 species